rnacentral:rRNA from 1 species
UACGUAGGGGGCAAGCGUUGUUCGGAAUUACUGGGCGUAAAGGGCGCGUAGGCGGCACGGCAAGUCAGGAGUGAAAGGCCUGGGCUCAACCGAGGAACUGCUUUUGAGACUGCCGAGCUAGAGUGCAGAAGGGGCAAUUGGAAUUCCCAGUGUAGCGGUGAAAUGCGUAGAUAUUGGGAAGAACACCUGAGGCGAAGGCGGGUUGCUGGGCUGACACUGACGCUGAGGCGCGAAAGCCAGGGGAGCAAACGGG